GCAAAUUCUGGGUGUCCAGGAAGAUGACAGCUGUUCUGCUGUAUGUAUAAAGCAUCCUUACCCCAGAGAGGGAGUUGGACCCUGAGCAAAGUCCACAUGGACAGCCAUCAGCCAUUGGUGACGGUCAAAGGUCAACCGGCCCAGUUCCAUGAGAGCUUACAUUCACAAACAUCACAACCAAUAAGGAACGAGGACAUUGCCUCUGGAGCUGGAGUGGGAAAAGUCUUCCAGAAGCUGCUUUUCAGACACCCGGCUCCCCCGCAGCACUGUCCUGAGGGCAGGGAGCAAAGCCACCACCAGGGUUUCCAGGAAGGUAGGCAGGGAAGCGCCUAAGAGCUCUGCAGCCUGUGCCCCAGCUCCCAGACGUAGCAACCGUGCAACCGAUGAAGUCUAAUAUUUAUCUAUCGUCCUGUCGGCCCCAAUAAAACACAGCACUCUUUAAAGUGCUCGCCGUAACGACA